GACGAACGCUGGCGGCGUGCCUAAUACAUGCAAGUAGAACACUGAAGAGAGGAGCUUACUCUUCUUGGAUGAGUUGCGAACGGGUGAGUAACGCGUAGGUAACCUGCCUUGUAGCGGGGGAUAACUAUUGGAAACGAUAGCUAAUACCGCAUAACAAUGGAUGACACAUGUCAUUUAUUUGAAAGGGGCAAUUGCUCCACUACAAGAUGGACCUGCGUUGUAUUAGCUAGUAGGUGAGGUAAUGGCUCACCUAGGCGACGAUACAUAGCCGACCUGAGAGGGUGAUCGGCCACACUGGGACUGAGACACGGCCCAGACUCCUACGGGAGGCAGCAGUAGGGAAUCUUCGGCAAUGGGGGCAACCCUGACCGAGCAACGCCGCGUGAGUGAAGAAGGUUUUCGGAUCGUAAAGCUCUGUUGUAAGUCAAGAACGGGUGUGAGAGUGGAAAGUUCACACUGUGACGGUAGCUUACCAGAAAGGGACGGCUAACUACGUG
rnacentral:rRNA from 1 species